rnacentral:rRNA from 1 species
UACGUAGGGUGCUAGCGUUAUCCGGAUUUAUUGGGCGUAAAGGGCUUGUAGGUGGUUUGUCGCGUCUGUCGUGAAAUCCUGUGGCUUAACCAUGGGCUUGCGGUGGGUACGGGCAGGCUUGAGUGCGGUAGGGGAGACUGGAAUUCCUGGUGUAGCGGUGGAAUGCGCAGAUAUCAGGAGGAACACCGGUGGCGAAGGCGGGUCUCUGGGGUAUAACUGACGCUGAUGCACGAAGGUGUGGGUAUCAAACAGG